rnacentral:lncRNA from 1 species
GAGACAGGGUCUCGCUUUGUCUGGAGUCCAGGCUGGAGUGCAGUGGCGCGGUCAUGGCUCGCUGCGGCCUUGACCUCCUGGGCUCAGGAGAUCCUUCUGCCUCAGCCUCUCGUUGGGACCACAGGCACACACCACGACACCUGGAAUCCCAGCACUUUGGGAGGCCGAGUGACUUCCUGUGUUGAAAAAUUUUUUGUAGGCUGGGCGUGGUGGCUCAUGUCUGUAAUCCCAGCACUGUGGGAGACCAAGGUGGGCAGACUGGAGAUCGAGACCAUCCCGGCCAACAUGGUGAAACCCCGUCUCUACUAAAAAUAACAAAAAAGUUAGCUGGGUGCUGUGGCGCACGCCUGCAGUCCCAGCUACUCGGGAAGCUGAGGCAGGAGAAUCGCUUGAACCCAGGAGGCGGAGGUUGCAGUGAGCCGAGAUCGCACCACUGCACUCCAGCCUGGACAACACAGCGAGAAUCUGUCUCAAAAAAAAAAAAAAAAUUGUGGAGACAGGGUCUCACUAUGUUGCGUAGGCUAGUCUUGAACUCCUGGGCUCAAGCGAUCCUUCGGCUGUGGCCUCCCAAAGUGCUGGGAUUAUAGGAGUGAGCCACCAUGCCUGGACACAGUGUGUCUGAUUUUUUUUUUUCCUACUAAUUUUUUUUUUUAAAGAAGUGAGAUGAGGGAGGAGCGGCAUGAGCCACCGCGCCUGGCCCUAUUAACCAUUUUUAAGUCUACAAGUCGGUGACAUUUAGCACAUUUACAAUGUUGUGUGUCCUCCACCUCUCUAGUUCAAAACUUUUUUGCACCACAGAGGAAUGCGUCGUUAACAGAUCACUGCCUGUUGCUCUCUCUCCUGUCCCUUGGUGACUUGAAUCUACCUUCUGUCUCUGUGGGUUCUCCUUUCCUGGAUAUUUCAUAUGUGUGGAAUCAUAUAACAUGUGGCCCUUCGUGUCUGGCUUCUUUCCGCAAGCAUGCAUUUGUGAUUCAUCUGAGUUGUAUUAUGGAUUAGUAUUUCAUUCCUUUGUAUGGCUCAGUCAUGUUCCAUUGUUUAUGUAGACCACAUUCUUCAUCCGUUCAUCUGCUGAUGGACGUGUGGGUUGUUCCCAUCGUCUUGGUGCUUAGGAAUAGUGCCACUGUGGACAUUGUGUGUAAUUCUAGGGGGACAUGUUUUCAUUUCUCUUGGAUGUAUACCUAGAAGUGAGCUGGCAGGGUCAUCAGGUCACUGCUUAACUUAUGUGAAACACCAUCUUUUUUUUGUGGCUGCACCAUUUUAAUUCUCACCAGUGAUGGACAAGCUUUCCAGUUUGUUCACAUCCUUGCCAACACUUUUAUUUUUUAAUACCCAUAAUAGUGUGAAAUGGUAUCUCAUUGUGGCUUUGAUUUUCAUUUUCUUAAUGACCAGUGAUGUUGAAUAUUUGUUCAUGUGCUUGUUGGGCCAUUUGUAUAUGUUUGGAGAAAUAUCAGUUCAUGUCCAUUGCUUUUUUUAAAUUGGGUUGUUUGGUUUUUGUUGUUGUUCUUUAUAUAUACACAUGCACAGUAUACAGUGUGUGCGUGUGUUGGGGUGUGUGUGUAUAUUCUGGAUACUGGACUCUGAGCAGAUGUAUGAUUUGCAAAUGUUUUCUCCCAUUUUGUAGGUUCUUUUUAGUUUCUUGAUAGUGUCCUUUGAAGCACAGGAUCAGACGUUUUUAAUUCUGAUGAAGUCCAGUUUCUUUUUUCUUUUCAAGACACUAUCUCCCUCUGUCACCCAGGCUGGAGUGCAGUGGCACAAUCACAGCUCACUGCAGCCUCAACCUCCCAAGCUGAAGUGAUCCUCCCAACCUCAGCCUCCUGAGUGGCUGGGACCACAGGUACGCGCCACCACGCUUGGCUGAUUUUUUGUACUUUGUGUAGAGAUGGGGUUUUACCAUGUUUCCAAGGCUUAUCUUGAACUCUGGGCUCAAGUGAUCCUCCCAUCUCUGCCUCCCAAAGUGCUGGGAUUCCAGGUGUGAGCUGCUGCUGCCCAGCCUGGUUUUAUUUUUUCAAAUCCGAGGUCAUGAAGACUUGCCCUUAAGUUUUCUUCUACGAGUUUUAUAUUUCUGGUUCUCAUAUUUAGGUCUCUGAUCCAUUCGAGUUAAUUUUUUGUAUACAGUAUGAGGUAAGGAUUUGUAGGUGAAUAUUCAGUUGUCCCAGCAGCAUUUGUUACAGAGAUACCCUAUCCCCUCAAAUGGUCCUGAUGCCUUGUGGAUGUCGGUUGGUUUUAUGCAGUGGGAGCGUUGCAGUGUGAAGGCGUCUUAAAGAAGGCCUAAAUCUAGAAGGAUUUACAUAGGCACUGGAAUGGUGAUCCGUCUUCCCAGGCUAGAGUUUUUGUUGUCAGCUACAUGUGUGGGCUGUUUUUCACGGGAUAUCUUGGCCUUACUGUAAAUUCUCAUCACCCUUAUUGUAAACUUGUCUCUGUCAGGAUUUCUCUGUGACGUCCAUGUGCUGGGGCUGUACUGCUGAUGAACAGGAAGUGGCAAAGGUUGAUGGCUGAGCUCUGCGACAGCUCCCACCAGGAUUUUAACAUCGUUGUUGGCAUUUUGUGAAUUUUUUGAGUAGGGCAGAAGGUAGCCCUGGGAAUCUUAAACUGCUGUUUUGAGUUUCAACAGAUCUGCUUUGGAAGACUUCAAAGAUUUACCACAAUAUAAGUCGUAGUAGCUUAAGACCUGAAAUAGAAUAAAACUGUGGUGUUCCAAGACUUCCCUGUUUAUCCGGGGAUGCACUUAAGUUAUAUACUAACCUAAUCAUCACACAGCUCUGGGAAGCACUAGUACCGUUGCUAUCAGCAUCUUACCGCAGGGGAAACUGAGGCUCAGAGGUGUGGAGUAAUUGAUGAAAGGUGCACAGCUGGCAGGUGGCAUAGUGAGGGCUGGUGCCAGUUACUCUCAAUCCAUGGUCUUUCCUCUGUGCUUCGCUGCCUCCCGGGUGUCUGACAUCACGUGGAUUUAAGCCCCACUCUCCCAAUUUUUUUUUUUUUUUUUUUUUUGAGACAUAGUCUGGCACUCUCGCCCAGGCUGGAGUGCAGUGGUGCAGUCUUGGCUCACUGCAGCCUCUGCCUUCCGGGCUCAAGCCAUCCUUCCACCUAAGCCUCUUGAGUAGCUGGGACCUUAGACACACACCACCACACCCGGCUAAUUUUUGUAGAGAUGGGGGUUCACCAUGUUGCCUAGGCUGGUCCUGGAACUCCUGAGCUCAAGUGAUCCACUCACCUCAGCCUCCCAAAGUGCUGGGAUUACAGGUGUGAGCCACCACGCCGGGUUUCUCUCCCAGUUUUUUAAAAAAUAUUUUAACUUUUAUUUUAGUUUCAACGGUACAUGUGCAGGUUUGUUAUAUAAACGUAUUAUUCAGUGGUUUGGUGUACAGUUUAUUCCCUCACCUGGGUAUGUACUGUAGUACCUGACAAUUUUUUUUGUUUGUUUUUCCUGAUCCUCUCCCUUCUCCCACUCUCCACCCUCAAGUAGGCCGCAGUGUCUGUUGUUCUCCUCUUGUGUCCAUGUGUUCUAAUGGUUUAGCUCCCACUUAUAAGUGAGAACAUGUGGUAUUUGGUUUUUCUGUUCCUAUGUUAGUUUUCUAAGGAUAAUGACCUCCAGCUCCAUCCAUGUUCCUGCAAACGACAUGAUCUCAUUUCAUUUUAUGUAUACAUGGUAUCCCAUGGUAUAUAUGUACAUUUUCUUUAUCCAGUCCACCAUUGGUGAGCAUUUAGGUUGAUCUCAUGUCUUUGCUAUUGUGAAUAGUGCUGCGAUGAACACACGCAUGCAUGUGUCUUUAUGGUAGAGCCAUUUACCUUCCUUUGGGUAGGUAAUCCUGGUUCAUUUGGUUUUUUUUUUUUUUUGAGACGGAGUCUCGCUCUGUUGCCCAGGCUGGAGUGCAGUGGUGAGAUCUCAGCUCAUAGCAAGCUCCGCCUCCCAGGUUCACGCCAUUCUCCUGCCUCAGCCUCCUGAGUAGCUGGGACUAUAGGUGCCUGCCACCAUGCCUGGCUAAUUUUUUGUACUUUUAGUAGAGACGGGGUUUCACCAUGUUAGCCAGGAUGGUCUCAAUCUCCUGACCUCGUGAUCUGCCUGCCUCGGCCUCCCAAAGUGCUGGGAUUACAGGCGUGAACCACCACACCCGGUUAACCCCAGUUGUUUAUAAAUUGUUGAAUGGAGAGAGUACCUUUUUUCAGGCACUCAGAGGACUUUAUCUUACUUACUUUUAUGAUAAAAUAAUUAAGAGCCCAAACUAUUAGUCCUAUUUUAUUUUAUUUUAUUUUUUUGACUUUUUACAAAUUAUUACUUUUAACAAAGAAAGCAAAAGUGGAUCUUAUUUCCAUAAAAUAAAGGUUUAUGUUGACAAUUAAAAACUGGACAUGCACACGAUUAGAAAGUUCAAACGACACGAAAAUGUAUACUUCUCCCCAAAGGAAACGACUGUGAACAGUUUCUUGUGACUGUUUUAG